rnacentral:rRNA from 1 species
GUCGAACGAGAACGGGGAGUUGCUCCCGUGNACAGUGCGAACGGGUGAGUAAACGUGAGUAUCUGCCCUCGAGCGGUGGAUACUCGGCGAAAGCGGAGCUAAUGCCGCAUGAAACUUUGGAGCAUAAGCUUCCAAAGUCAAAGCUUUCGGGUGCUUGAGGAUGAGCUCGCGCGCUAUAAGCUUGUUGGUAGGGUACGGCCUACCAAGGCACGAUGGGUAGCCGCCUGAGAGGGUGUCGGUCACACUUGGACUGCGACACGGCCCAGACUCCUACGGGAGGCAGCAGUGGGGAAUUUUGCGCAAUGGGCGAAAGCCUGACGCAGCGACGCCGCAUGGAGGAUGAAGGUUCUCGGAUUGUAACCUCCUGUCAGACGUGAAGAAAGCCCUCAUGCGUCUGCCGGUAACCUCAGAGGAAGCCCCGGCUAACUACGUGCCAGCAGCCGCGGUAAUACGUAGGGGGCAAACGUUGCUCGGAAUUACUUGGGCGUAAAGGGUGCGCAGGUGGCUGAGAACGUCGUUGAUGAGAUCCCGGGGCUUACCCGCGGAACUGUCUCGAAUACUUCUCAGCUUGAGGAUAGUCGAGGAGACCG